rnacentral:lncRNA from 1 species
AGAAUACGUCGUUUGUUCUUCACGAGUCAUAUCAUUGGAAGAAUGAUGAACCAAUAUAUUUUAAGGUUAGCAUAUACAUGUAACGUAUAAGUAUAUACAGUAUAUACAUGUAAUGUAUAUAUCCAGAGACGCAGCAGCGCAGUAUGUAACAUGUUGUUUUCCCUCAAAUCCCAAUGUUUUCCUCGACAAAUAUUUUCUGUCGGAACAGACCUUAUACGCUGCUAUUUUGCUAUAAAACGACAGGAAAAUUAAACAAUUAACAUUCGCACAACAAUUAUUUUUCCUGAUUGAAAACUCUUUAUUGUAUAAAAAUAAGGGUUUCAGCAGCGUCAUGUAUCUUUUCUGUGUUAGAUAUUGUAUUAUUUUAAUCAGUUGUGAGGCCUUAAAGCAUGAACCAAUUUUUUUUAUUCUAGGGUCUCCUAUAAAAACGAUUUAAUUUCUGCAUUUUAAGUAAUAGGUUAUAAGCCAAGAACACGGAAUAUAAGUCAUAUAUUCACCCGAGGCCGAGGGCAAUUAUAUCCCAAGUUCGAGGAAACUGGGAAAGCCAAAUCACGUUAAAAGAACAUGUUCUAAUGUAGUAAUGACAGAGGUAUUUUAAUUUACUAAACAACGCUGUCUACUAUAGGCGUAUAUUAUAUAGAGAAUAAUACAAACAUGGGUGCGCGGAAAUACCAGAUUUAUUUCGAGUGUUGAACAUGAUAUCUCACGAGUGAGCGCAGCGAACGAGUGAGAUAUCAUGUUCAACACGAGAAAUAAAUCUGGUAUUUCCAAGCAUCCAUGUAUUUUUCUGUUUAUUAUAUAAUGCAUGAGUCAAUUUCAGAAGUAACCAUCCCCCCCGGGAACACACCCGGGCAUUUGAUUUGAUUGGUUAUGAUAGUGUAAAUGCCCGGGUGCCGGGACACAACUUGAAGACUAAUGCAUGGCCCCUGGGCAAGCUGAGAGUGGAAAAUGCCCCACCCCGGGGACGAUUUCACGAAACUUUGACCACAAAUGUUCCGAACUUCGUUGCGAAGUUCGGAAGCUCAUAUUGGAAUUCACAAGCCAAUUUGUAAACAAAGUCCCUGAUUGGUCCGUGAAGUAAAAGAAGCCAAUCAAAUGCGUAGUUUACGAACUGGUUUGUGAAUCUCAUUAUGAACUUUUGAACUUCGCAACAAUCUUGUGAACUUCGCAACGAAGUUCGGAAAAUUUGUGGUCAAAGUUUCGUGAAAUCAACUGUAAACGUUAAUUAAACUUUUAAUGGCAUAUAAUCAUAGUCAUUUAAUUACAUUAUAGUAUUAAACUGCUAUGGAAUAUUAUAAAACAUAAACCUUUAAUAAUUGUAUUUAAAUUUGCAUGGCACAGGGUAUAAUUUUCGCUUAUUCUUACAAUAUAAAUUUCACGCCACCUUGACCACGAGGGCGCAAAAUACGAUCAGCGCGCCCACAUGCGUGCCUGAAACUAGGUUUUGCGGCCUUAAAAUUUGUGGGUGGGAUUUUGGUCAACCAUUUGUCAAAUCCCCGGGGUCCUCCAAUACCCGGCCCCCGUGCACAUAUAUGAAAGGCAAAUUCCCGACCCCCGUGAACUGUCUAUCGGGCAAAUUCCCGGGGGUGUCCGGGGGGGAGGAUGGUUACUCCAGGAAUUGACUCAUGCAUAAAGGACAGUCUUUGAAAAGCGAUAAUUUUUACAGAAAAGCGAUAAUUGAAAACCGACAAUUUUCACAUGUGAGAUUAUCAUAAAUAAUCUCACAUGUGAGAUUAUCACUUUUAUCAGUGCUCGAAGUACUAUAUUUAAAGCACGUGUAGGAGUGUUUUAUCAGAUAUAAAACGCGAGGCGCAGCCGAGCGUUUUAUAUCUGAUAAAACACGACUACAAGUGCUUUAAAUGGCUUAAAAAAACGAUCCAUCUUCUGAUGAGUACAUUAGCGAAGUAAUAAACUUUGUCUUUUUUUAAAAUAAACUUUGUCUAAACCGAGAAAAUCAAAGCUAAAGUUUAUGCAAAUUAACAUGAUUUUUUAUCACAUAUAAAGAUACGACACACUUAUGAUUUUUCUUUGUGUUUUGCUCCUGAAUUAUUAAUGAGUUUUUUAAAUCUCUAUAAAGCACUAUACUUUAUAUAAUAAAAGCUAAGAAUCACCUUUGCCUACCGCUAAAUAUUGUCAGAUAGCUAUUGUAUUGAUCGACAAGAUGUAAACGAAAUGAGCUAACACGACGCAGAUAAUAUACAGGUAUCUAAGAACGUUUUCUUGGUUUGAAAGUCUUACAUACAUGCAUGCAUGAAUGCUUUCGAAUCUCUUUUUAUUAUUGCGUUUUAUUAUAUGACAAGCAUCACUUCCGGUGAAAUGGUGGACUGUGAUUGGCUGAGAAGUACUUUCAGCGGUCCAUUAUUUUCCCGUAAUGUGGACCGGCGGUCCAUUGCCUAAAACAAACACAUGCAUUUUACAACAAAACAGCAAAACCAAUUGAAAAAAAUUAUUUUUUAAUUUGUUAUUAAUAAGAUAUCUGCGAAUGGUUUUUAGUGGAAAAGAAGGAAUACAUUGGUAUUUUUUGUUUUCUUCGACCAAAUGUGUGCCACGCUACUAAUAUGCAUUUCAAAACAUGCAUUUCUUGUUUGUUUCAAGCAUAAAUGCCAAAAAUGCCAUAUAAUAAACAUUUUUAUUAACCUCGCUUCGGUAUGUACAGAGAAAUAUCGGUAUUUCUCUGUACAAAUAUCGGUAUUUCUCUGUACAGACAUCGCAUUCGGUUAAUAAGAAGUUAUUAAUUUUUAGGUAUAACUUCUCAGAUAUCUCUGAAAAAAUUCCCCCCGGAAAAUAUUGUCGCUAAUGUCGCGUAACGGUGAUUAAAGUGCGAUAAUUUGCAUAAAUUAUGCGCGGUCCUAGUUCCAGGUUCUGGUUCCUGUAUCGUUGUAUCGCUUUUUAGUAGUAUAGCCUCCGUCUGAACUGUGCUAUAUACGGAGAACGCUUGAAAUACACGGUUUAAAUCAGAAUUUACUUUAUAUUAUGACUGCGAUCACAUAUCUUUAGAAACAGACGACAACAAGACUCUAAAUGCCGUAAACCAUAACGUUUUUUCGGAGUGUAUCAAAUAUAGAACUUGAAGCGAAAAACUGCCAAAUACGAUAUUAAUUAACCAUUGAAUCCCUGGGUACGAGAUUGGAUAUUAACUGAAAUUGUCAAGCAAAAAGCCCUGGGUACGAGGUUGCCAAGUUCUAUUUUAGUUUAGAAAUGACUGUUAGUUUAAUGAUAAUCAGUCUGCCGCACGUAUACUCACCCUUAAGCCUGUUUUCCACUAGGCGGAAUUUUGCGCGCGGAGCGGAAUUUUUCUUUAUCUUUUCUAAUUAGUUCCACCCGACUACAUCCAAAAAUCUUGGAUGUCACAUGACGAGACCCAAACAAACAGGGUCUCGCACUGAUCUCAAAACUAGAACUGGAUAGAGCAACCUUCAGAAUAUUUAUAACGAGGAUUGAUUUAUAAAUUUGUCACCGUUGCUUACGAAUCAAAUUGUCACGUAUUUAAUUAAAUUAGUUAUACGACUAUAUAAGCAAUAAUUUAUUCUAUAUAGUUUUCCACAUCGCUUUAAACCCAAGUUAAUGAGAUUUGGCGCAUCCGUGCAAAUUUUAGAAGGAAGAGAGGCUACUAACUCUCUCUAGGCAAUAACUGUUAUUGCCAACAAUCACCAGAAACUUUUAAAGAAGUUCUUCUGGUCACACCAGUAUAGCUAUUUAUGCAUAGUAAAUGUUCUAUCCAGUUCCAGUUUGAUAUCAGUGGGGUCUCACCAUAGCCGGGGGUGGCGGAGACCCUGUGGAACAGCUUGUUUUUUGUAAACAAUUGAUAGACAGGCUAUACAGGGUGUCCCAAAAAAAACGAAAACUAUUGAAAUAACGUAUUGUUAGAAUUUGAAUGCCUCAGCAUGCACUCUGCUGAACCCACACGUGCAUCAAAGCUUGACGUAAAGAAAACCGUUUAAGAAACUGUUUUAAAUUCCCAAGAGCAGAAAAUCUUGCGCUUUACAAAGAUAUUUUAAUUUCUUAAUAAGUCAAUAUUUAAUAUAUGCACCCUUGUCAAUAUUUUACGCAUCUUUGCGUUCAGCUUAGUGCUAGGGCAUUCAAAUUUUAACAAUACGUUAUUUCAAUGGUUUUGCGGGNNNNNNNNNNNNNNNNNNNNUUGGGACACCCUGUAUGCAGGGUGUAUAAAAAAAACUGAACCCUUUCAAAUUCAAAUUAGCUAUAACGUAUUGUAGUAAUUUGACAGCUCUAAUUGCUUUGAAUUAAUGGUUGGGUAAGAACACAAGAUCUUGUACUCAUGGGACAAAACUCUUGAAAACUUUUAAAUUUUCUAAUUUUUAUUUCUUUGAGUUCCGUCCCAUGAGUACAAGACCUUGUGUUCUUACCCAACCAUUAAUUCAAAGCAAUUAGAGCUGUCAAAUUGCUACAAUACGUUAUAGCUAAUUUGAAUUUGAAAGGGUUCAGUUGUUUUUUAUACACACUGUAGAACCAUUGCAACUUUGCACCUUGCCUUGUUCUUAGGCUAUGAAUGCAUGGAAUGUGAAUGUACAACAAAUUUACAAUUACAGUUAUAAUUACAGUGUUCGUAAAAAUACAACACUGUGAAAUCAACACAACAAAAUAAUACUGUUUGUACAACAACAAUAAAAAUACCUAAUACAACUACAUGUUUCAGUUUUUUACUCGGCAAUUCCUUCAUUAUAUUUAACCACUUUCGCAGCAAUUUCCUUGCUAACUUGAUCGGGUAAUGCUUUUCCCUGCGCACUGAGGGAGUUCAAGUUCGAAAUCCGAAUCGAACUGCACAAGUUGUGGGUUGCGAAGUUCAGUACGUGUUUAUAUAUGUCAGUUGAAAAUUAAACGACUAUAAACGAUAGUUUUAUUCGUUAAGCGUGCGUAAUAAAAUGUUUUAAUGUUUUGUAUAGAUAAACCCGUUGCCUAAAAAGUCAAAUAGCAGCGAGGAUGAUUUUUAUUUCAAAAACCCGCAUGUUCCCGAGUUCAUUGGUAAGGGUAUGUUUGUUUUAUAUGUAAUUUUAAUCUGCGAAACUAUGAAAAAAGGAAUUAGACAGGUUUUUUCAGGCACAUCUUAUCAUCAACACUGAUGAUGACUGAUCAUCACUCGUG